AGAAUCAACGCUGGCGGCGUGCCUAACACAUGCAAGUCGCACGAGAAAGGGACUUCGGUCCUGAGUACAGUGGCGCACGGGUGAGUAACACGUGAAUAAUCUACCUCCGAGUGGGGAAUAACUGAGAGAAAUCUUAGCUAAUACCGCAUAACACUUAUGAGUCAAAGCAGCAAUGCGCUUGGAGAGGAGUUCGCGGCAGAUUAGUUAGUUGGCGGGGUAAUGGCCCACCAAGACGAUGAUCUGUAUCCGGCCUGAGAGGGCGCACGGACACACUGGAACUGAAACACGGUCCAGACUCCUACGGGAGGCAGCAGUGGGGAAUUUUGCGCAAUGGGGGAAACCCUGACGCAGCAACGCCGCGUGGAGGAUGAAAUCCCUUGGGAUGUAAACUCCUUUCGAUCGGGAAGAUAAUGACGGUACCGAGAGAAGAAGCCCCGGCUAACUUCGUGCCAGCAGCCGC
rnacentral:rRNA from 1 species